UACAGAGGAGCCAAGCGUUGUCCGGAUUGACUGGGCGUAAAGCGCACGCAGGCGGCACCGUGCGUGGGGUGUGAAAUCUGGCCGCUUAACGGCCAGGCGCCAUCCCAUACGGCGGAGCUGGAGUGAUGCAGAGGUCGAUGGAAUUGCCGGUGUAGUGGUGAAAUGCGUAGAGAUCGGCAGGAACACCCAGGGGGAAACCAGUCGACUGGGCAUCUACUGACGCUGAGGUGC
rnacentral:rRNA from 1 species